rnacentral:lncRNA from 1 species
UGCUCUGAGCAGUGCUGCUGAGCAAUCACUUAACCCUUAAAGUCCUGCGUGUAGGAGAAAAAAUGACUCCUAAUUCCAUAUUCCUCUCUCAUGCAACACUGCAAGAAGUGAAGCAUGCAGUGUCAGCACACAGAAGUUUGUAUGAUCACAAACACAAAUAUUUUUUUCAGCCCCUAUGCCAAGUACUUGUCUCUUGGGUCAACAGAUCUUAGAAUUUAGCAGACCAAAGUAAUCAGCAAACGCAUGUUUUAUCCCAUUUUUGACAUUAACAAGAUAAAUGAUGGAUGAACACAAGUUUUUCGAAUAUUAAUUUAAAUACAGAUGUAAUCACGGCAGGCGGCAGUUCAGAGCAGAAGCUGUGCCAAUUGCACGUGAGGUCCUGCCUCUCUGACUACUGCGACUCAUAUCCAAGGAAUGGUCAUGCUGGGGCAGGCAGAAAUUCUUUCUGAGGAGGGCUGGCAGUGGGUACUCAGGAAAAGAGUGUGAGACCUGGGCAAUACAGGGAGAUCUUUGUCCUGGAACACCCUCUCAUCUGGCUGAAGC